AUGGGAGAGGCUCCAAAAUCCACCCAAAUCAUCGAUCUCCAGCCCCCCGGGGGGUCCCUGCGCCUCCUCUGCCGCACCUCGGGGUUCACUUUUGGCAGUUUUGGGAUGGGCUGGAUGCGCCAGAGACCCGGGCAGGGGCUGGAAUACGUCGCGGGGAUCAGCAGCAAUGGUGCUUACACUGAAUACGCGCCGUCGGUGAAGGGCCGGGCGACGAUCUCCAGGGACAACGGGCAGAGCUCGGUGACGCUGACCAUGAACGGCCUCAAGGACGAGGAUUCCGGCUCCUAUUUCUGUGCCAAAUCUGCUCACAGUGGCUGCAAUCCUCCUGCCUGUGCUUUUGGUGUCGUUUUGCCCAUUUCCCCCAAAUCUCGGCCUCCCCGUCGCCCUGGGGGCGUUUGCCCAGAGCCGUCCCCCAAAUCUCAGCCUUUCACCCCAGAUUUCCGCUCCGUUCCAGCGGCAGCCUGA